GACGAACGCUGGCGGCGUGCUUAACACAUGCAAGUCGAACGGUAAGGCCCUUCGGGGUACACGAGUGGCGAACGGGUGAGUAACACGUGGGUAAUCUGCCCUGCACAUCGGGAUAAGCCUGGGAAACUGGGUCUAAUACCGAAUAGGACCACAGGACACAUGUCCUGUGGUGGAAAGCUUUUGCGGUGUGGGAUGGGCCCGCGGCCUAUCAGCUUGUUGGUGGGGUGAUGGCCUACCAAGGCGACGACGGGUAGCCGGCCUGAGAGGGUGUCCGGGCACACUGGGACUGAGAUACGGCCCAGACUCCUACGGGAGGCAGCAGUGGGGAAGAUUGCACAAUGGGCGAAAGAGUGAUGCAGCGACGCCGCGUGGGGGAUGACGGCCUUCGGGUUGUAAACCUCUUUCACAAUCGACGAAGGUCCGGGUUUUCUCGGGCUGACGGUAGGUGGAGAAGAAGCACCGGCCAACUACGUG
rnacentral:rRNA from 1 species